UUGAAUAUAUCAUCCAGGAAGUGUCCUGACACAGAUCCAUCAAUCCGUUGUGGACACUCAACUUGUCUGCAGAACCGCCUACCUCUUCCUUAGUUAUGCAUUUUACGACUGUCUUCGUUCCCUAAACGCAACACUGACUCAAUAAAACGCCUAAUACGUCAGACGUUCGUGUUGAACGUCUGUGGCGGGAAUAGCGGCAUAGUCUGAAACUCGACAGAAACCAAUAAAAGUAAGACAAAGACUCAAGAUACUGUGUUGAACUGGUUCGGACUUGGUGGAAACAGCCUCUAAAAGUGCUCCAAUGAAGGUACAGGACAGACACGUACAAUUCCUCCGUAAGAGGGGCAGGCAAACAGCACAAAAGGGCUAGUCGACAAUCUACAACAAUGUGGCUAAAGUCGGUGAGGCCCAUAAUGGACAUCAGAGGGUCGAGGCAGAGGAAUAUAGACCAGGCAGGACUGGGCUAGUCCUGGUCCCUGGAUGGGACCAAUGAAGUGGAUGCAAGAAUGACUGAUGGGUGUUCCAGCCAGGUGAUGAGAGAUGCUGACGCCAGUGCCAGGAAGUCUUUAACACUUUAAAGACUUUAAAGUGAGUACAAUGUUUUAGAGCAUUAACUGUAGUAUUCUACAGUUAAUGUUUUUCUCUUCCAUUGGCCUUAAAGGUGUCUCCCAGAGAAGCUAGUACACGGCAUGC
rnacentral:lncRNA from 1 species